GAUGAACGCUGGCGGCGUGCCUAAUACAUGCAAGUCGAGCGGCAACCCUGGAUUCGUCUAGGGCUAGAGCGGCGGACGGGUGAGUAACACGUAGGCGACCUGCCCCGAAGACGGGGAUAACUGCUGGAAACGGCAGCUAAUACCCGAUGUGCUCGGCGGUUCAUUCCGUCGAGUAAAGCUCCGACGCUUCGGGAGGGGCCUGCGGCCUAUCAGCUAGUUGGUAGGGUAACGGCCUACCAAGGCGAAGACGGGUAGAGGGCGUGAGAGCGCGAACCUCCACACUGGCACUGGGACACGGGCCAGACUCCUACGGGAGGCAGCAGUCGGGGAUAUUGCACAAUGGGCGCAAGCUUGAUGCAGCAACGCCGCGUGGGCGAUGAAGGCCUUCGGGUCGUAAAGCCCUUUUCUGGGAGAAGAGGAAGGACGGUAUCCCAGGAAUAAGUGUCGGCUAACUACGUGCCAGCCGCCGCGGUAAAAC
rnacentral:rRNA from 1 species